rnacentral:lncRNA from 1 species
UGUUGUCAAGGCUAGAGUAGGUGUUGUCAAGGUUAGAGGAGGUGUUGUCAAGGUUAGAUGAGGUGUUGUCAAGGUUAUAGGAGGUGUUGUCAAGGUUAGAGGAGGUGGUGUCAAGGUUAGAGGAGGUGGUGUCAAGGUUACAGGAGGUGUUUUCAAGGCUAGAGGAGGUGUUGUCAAGGUUAGAGGAGGUGUUGUCAAGGCUAGUUGAGGUGUUGUCAAGGUUAGAGGAGGUGUUGUCAAGGCUAGAGGAGGUGUUGUCAAGGUUAGAGGAGGUGUUGUCAAUGUUAGUGGAGGUGUUGUCAAGGUUAGAUGAGGUGUUGUCGAGGUUAGAGAAGCUGUUGUCAAGGUUAGAGGAGGUGUUGUCAAGGCUAGAGGAGGUGUUGUCAAGGUUAGUGGAGGUGUUGUCAAGGUUAGAGAAGCUGUUGUCAAGGUUAGAGGAGGUGUUGUCAAGGCUAGAGGGGGUGUUGUCAAUGUUAGAGGAGGUGUUGUCAAGGUUAGAUGAGGUGUUGUUGAGGUUAGAGAAGGUGUUGUCAAGGUUAGAGUAGCUGUUGUCAAGGCUUGAGGAGGUGUUGUCAAGGUUAGAUGAGGUGUUGUCAAGGUUAGAGGAGCUGUUGUCAUGUUAGAUGAGGUGUUGUCAAGGUUAGAGGAGCUGUUGUCAAGGUUAGUGGCGGUGUUGUCAAUGUUAGAUCAGGUGUUGUCAAGGUUAGAGGAGCUGUUGUCAAAGUUAGAGGAGGUGUUGUCAAGGUUAGAGGAGGUGUUGUCAAGGUUAGAGGAGCUGUUGUCAAGGUUAGAGGAGCUAUUGUCAAAGUUAGAGGAGGUGUUGUCAAGGCUAGAGGAGGUGUUGUCAAGGUUAGAGGAGGUGUUGUCAAGGUUAGAUGAGGUGUGGUCAAGGUUAGAGGAAGUGUUGUCAAGGUUAGAAAAUAUGUUUGGGAACAGACUUUUUCUGUUGGCCCAACUGUAGGAGGAAAUAAAAUAAAGUCAUAUGCUUUUGAAUGGAUGCUCUCAACAUCAGUUGUAUGGAGAGGCAGAUGGGUGAACAUACAAAUAGACAGACAGAAGUAGCAUGUCAUCAUACCCGAGUGGCGCAGCGGUCUAAGGCACUGCAUCUCAGUGCAAGAGGCAUCACUACAGUCCUUGGUUCAAAUCCAGGCUGUAUCACAUCCGUCCAUGUUUGGGAGUGCCAUAGGGCGGUGCUCGUCCAGGUUUGGCCAGGCUAGGCCGUCAUUGUAAAUAAGAAUUUGUUGUUAACUGACUUGCCUAUUCAAAUAAUGGCAAAAUAAAAGAAAUAUAAAAACAUACCCUGAGGGUAUGCUGACGACAUGACGGUGGUGGGCCUGAUCGCCG